UACAGAGGGGGCAAGCGUUGUUCGGAAUUACUGGGCGUAAAGGGCGCGUAGGCGGCCGCCUAAGUCAGACGUGAAAUCCCUCGGCUCAACCGGGGAACUGCGUCUGAUACUGGCAGGCUUGAAUUCGGGAGAGGGAUGUGGAAUUCCAGGUGUAGCGGUGAAAUGCGUAGAUAUCUGGAGGAACACCGGUGGCGAAGGCGGCAUCCUGGACCGAUAUUGACGCUGAUGCGCGAAAGCCAGGGGAGCAAACGGG
rnacentral:rRNA from 1 species